GGGUGUAUAGCUCAGUGGUAGAGAGAACACCCAGCACUCAUGGGUCCUGGGUUCAAUCCCCAGUACCUCCA
rnacentral:tRNA from 1 species